rnacentral:rRNA from 1 species
GUUGAAAACCGGGGGGAUGACUUGGGGCUAGGGGUGAAAGGCCAAUCAAAUUCCGUGAUAGCUGGUUCUCUCCGAAAUGCAUUUAGGUGCAGCGUCGGUCGAUUGCGUCGCGGGGGUAGAGCUACCGGAUGCUUGCGGGCCCUUGUUGGGUACCAACAGCAGCCGAACUCCGAAUACCGUUGACGUGUAUUCCGGCAGUGAGUCGGCGGGGGAUAAGCUCCGUCGUCGAGAGGGAGACAGCCCAGACCGUCGUCUAAGGUCCCGAAGCGUGUGCUAAGUGGGAAAGGAUGUGGAGUCGCAUAGACAGCCAGGAGGUUGGCUCAGAAGCAGCCAUCCUUGAAAGAGUGCGUAACAGCUCACUGGUCUAGUGGUUCCGCGCCGACAAUGUAGCGGGGCUCAAGCACACCACCGAAGACGCGGCAGCAAUCUUCAUGGUUGCUGGGUAGGAGAGCGUCCUGCAUGGGGCGAAGCGGCCGGGUAACCGUGCCGUGGACCGUGUGGGAGUGAGAAUGCAGACAUGAGUAGCGAGAGACGGGUGAGGAUCCCGUCCGCUGGAUGACCAAGGGUUCCGGGGCCACGUUCGUCGUCCCCGGGUGAGUCGGGUCCUAAGGCGAGGCCGACAGGCGUAGUCGAAUGGAUGAACGGGUGGAUAUUCCCGUACCGACCAUGGACCGGCAAAACCGAGACGGUGAGUACUAACCUCCGCCUCGUGGUGGUUCCUUCCUUCGGGUUGGUUCCGCCGCGUGGUGUUGGGAGCGUAGCCGCAGUAGGUCAGCGCAGGGGUGACACGGAAUGGGAGCCGGCCGCGGAGGUGGUUUUCCGUGGUCAAGCACGCAGCCAGUCAUGUAGGCAAAUCCGCAUGGCGCGCAUGGCGAGGUGUGAUGAUGGGAGCCGUUAUGGCUCGAUAUCCGGUUGUCCAGGCCGUCGAGAAAAGCCUCGGCGUGAGGGCCAUGGCCGCCCGUACCCCAAACCGACACUGGUGGUCAGGUAGAGAAUACCAAGGCGAUCGAGCGAAUCCUGGUCAAGGAACUCGGCAAAUCACUCCCGUGCCUUCGGUAUAAGGGAGACCCACUGGGGUGAAGGACCUUGCGUCCGGAGCUUUGGUGGGUGGCACAGACCAGGGGGUAGCGACUGUUUACCAAAAACACAGGUGCAUGCGAAGGCGAAAGCCGCUGUAUAUGCACUGACGCCUGCCCGGUGCCGGAAGGUUAAGAGGAUCCGUCAAUCCUUCGGGAUGAAGCGGUGAAUUCAAGCCCCGGUAAACGGCGGUGGUAACUAUAACCAUCCUAAGGUAGCGAAAUUCCUUGUCGGGUAAGUUCCGACCUGC